CACGUAGGGGGCGAGCGUUGUCCGGAUUUAUUGGGCGUAAAGAGCUCGUAGGCGGCUCGGUAAGUCAGGUGUGAAAACUCUAGGCUCAACCUAGAGACGCCACCUGAUACUGCUGUGGCUAGAGUCCGGUAGGGGAGCAUGGAAUUCCUGGUGUAGCGGUGAAAUGCGCAGAUAUCAGGAGGAACACCGGUGGCGAAGGCGGGUCUCUGGGCCGAAUAUUGACGCUGAGGAGCGAAAGCGUGGGGAGCAAACAGG
rnacentral:rRNA from 1 species